UCGGUCUGGGAUGGACUCGCGGCCUAUCAGCUUGUUGGUGAGGUAGUGGCUCACCAAGGCGACGACGGGUAGCCGGCCUGAGAGGGCGACCGGCCACACUGGGACUGAGACACGGCCCAG
rnacentral:rRNA from 1 species